CUGCCCGUUCCUGAUAUCAGCAGAGACUGUACACAAAACUCUUCAUUAGUCUCAAAAUGUGUGUUAUUGUGUUCAGUGAUGAAUAUUAGAGAUGUGAGAGAUGUGAGUCUGUCCUGGUACAAAGGAAACAGUUUAUUGUCCAUCAUCAGUGUGUCUGAUCUCAACAUCAGACUCUCUCUACCUCUGGUGGUUGAAUAUCAGGAUAACAACACAUACAGAUGUGUACUCAACAAUACCAUCACAAACCAAACUCAACAUCUCAACAUCACUCAACUCUGUCAGCCGUGUUCAGCUCUCACCUUCAUUCUGAUCUGUUGUGUUGUUGUCGGAUCUCUGAUGAUUGUAGCGUCAGUUCUAAUCUUCAGCAUCUAUAGGAAACACAGAAACACACAGCAACAGGGUAAAUAUCAACUAGUACUAAUACAGCUGUAUGGUAAUAACUACAGUAUUAUAACAAAUAAUGACGUAAUUAUUAUUGUUCCUAAACAGUUCAAACCAGAGAAGAGGAAAUCACUUAUGCAAAUACAACAUUCUUUAUAAGAGCAGCAAAUGAACCGGGAUCUGAGGAUGAUGUGGUGUAUGCAGGAGUCAAUAGAUGAUAAACAAACUCUCUGUGAUUCUCAGAUCAACAUUCAGAUCUAUGAUCAUCUUCAGUUUCUAUUAUAACUUCAGAUUCUCAGUAUUUGUGAGUUUAAAAAGUUUCUCAUGAACAAAGUUUUGUAUAAUAUUACAUAAAGUAAUUAUUACAUUUGAGACGUCUGGCUUCUAUCUCAUUUCAAGAUCUGUUACUCCUCAAUCACAUUCACAAGGUUAAACCUCAUGUUAACAUCCAAAAAUGCAACUAUAGGACAAUUAAAUAACAUUGAUAGACAGCAGUUUAAAGAAGGAUUGAACUGUAAAACAUUAUCAGAAACACUGUGAUCUAAAUUUAAAUAAAUUACUAAGAGUGUAGAUAUGACCAAAAGUCAUAGUGGUUUUAAAACACAAAGCAUGUCUAUUAUUUAUUUUUGUCACUGUAUGCUUGUGACACUUCAAGUGCUUCAUUUCUGAGUUGACGUUAAACCUGAUGUAGAAAGAAAUGUGGUUUUGUUCUGUUGGCGGACAUGAGAGAUGUGCUUGUGUUAGACUAUUAGUAGCUGUUUAUGGUUUAUGUGUAUAUGAGAGGUGAGAGUCAGCUCACUUGACUCUCAUGCUCUCUGUAAGACCUUCUCUGCUCUUCUUUUUACUUAUUACAUAGUUGGUUGGGGAGGAAAAGCUGCAGUCGUGUGUAGAAAGUGUGUAGAGACGUGGGCUUAGCACACAACCCUGGGGGGCCCCGGUGUUAAUGGUCAUGGUGGAGGAUGUGUGCUUGCUCACUCUAACAUAUUGUGUACAGUUUGUUAGAAAAUCCAGUAUAGAGUUGCAUAAUGUGGUACCAAGUCCAAGUUCAUGUAAAUUGUUAAAUAGUUUGUUUGGCAGGAUUGUAUUAAAUGCUAAACUAAAAUCAACAAAGAGAAACCUUGCAUUAUGCUCUAGUUGUUCCAGCAAGUUGUGUAGCACAAUGGCUAUGGCAUCCUCUGUUGCUCCAUGCAUUCACAAUCGCUUAAUAAUAACAUUUCACACAUUCAUGCUCACCUGUACAUUCUAUUUAAUUAGACAGAAGUUACUCCCAUUAAAGAAUUGUAUGUCCACAUUGUCCCUCCUAACAUGGAAUUUUUGGGGUAUUGGGUCUCAGGCAAAGAAAAGAAAUCAUGGAGGGGUCUGAAAUUGUCAUUGUAGGUGCAUGUACACUGUGAGAGACAUAAUACAAAAAAUCCAGAAAUCACAUAUCAAUAUUAUUUAACUAUUUAUUUAUAUGAUACAGCUGCAAAUAAGUAUUUGAACACCUGUCUAUCAACUAGAAUUCUGACCCUCAAAGACCUGUUAGUCUGCCUUUAAAAUGUCCAACUUCACUCCAUUUAUUAUCCUAAAUGAGAUGCACCUGUUUGAGGUCAUUAGCUGCAUAAAGACACCUGUCCACAGGGGCGUCAUGCACCAUUUUUUUUUAAGGGGGCACAGUGUGCAAAGCUCACAGAAAUUUGUGCAUACACAUACAUCAAACAAAUUAUAUUAUAGAGCUUUCAGUCUUUUCCAUGGCACUUAAAUUUCUAACAUUCUAAACGCCCCUGCCAUAGUGCA